rnacentral:misc_RNA from 1 species
GAAAAACUGUGGAAACAGAAAGAUGAAAGGGUAAUAAAGUUCUUGGAUGUACAAUCACAAAUCAAGAAGAUUAGCAGCGAGAUUGCAGGGAGUAGUGAGCAAGUAGAGACUCCUAAAGUAGAUGAGUCUGAUUUGUCUCUUAAAAAGCUGGAUGAGUUUCAUGCACAGCUUCAAGAUCUUCAAAAAGAAAAGAGUGAGAGACUGCACAAAGUCCUUAAAUUCGUGAGCGCAAUACAUGAUCUAUGUGCUGUUCUCGGCAUUGACUUCUUUAGUACUGCCACUGAAGUUCACCCAAGCCUGAACGAUUCUACUGGUGUACAAUCGAAAAGUAUAAGCAAUGACACACUAUCAAGUCUGGCUAGAACUGUCUUAGCACUAGAGGAAGAUAAGAAGCAAAGAUUGCAGAAGCUCCAAGAACUUGCAACUCAACUGAUUGAUUUAUGGAAUUUGAUGGAU